AUCGCUUCUUGGCCUUUUGGCUAAGAUCAAUUGUAGUAUCUGUUCUUAUCAGUUUAAUAUAUGAGGUCUAUUUCAGUGCAAUAGUUUCAGAGGUUCAUCCACUUUCUUGGACUCCAGAACUUCUAAAGCCAUGAAAACUUGAAAUUCUGUUCUGAAUUUCCAUCCUUUGUGUCAGAAGUUUUC